GCCAGAGACUCCCAUGUGCCGGUAUGUAUCAUAACAUUUCUCAUAGAAAUUAAUUCUCUGAGACUUUUGGGCUAUAAUUAGUAAUCACUAAUUAAUUGUUCUCAUAAAGAUUUGCAUGCUUGUUUCACAUGUGCUAUGGUAUGAUAUCAUGAACCAUGUGUUUUGCUGACUUUAGCAAAUCUUAAUGCCUGUUUAUAUAUUAAUGAUUAACAAUUUUUUUUUUAUUUAAUUGUAAAAUUA
rnacentral:misc_RNA from 1 species